rnacentral:rRNA from 1 species
AAUCAACGCUGGCGGCGUGCCUCAGACAUGCAAGUCGAACGCGAAAGUCCCCUUCGGGGGAGUGAUUAGAGUGGCGCACGGGUGAGUAACACGUAGGUAAUCUACCUUCGAGUGGGGAAGUAAACUCAGGGAAACUUGAGCUAAUACCGCAUAAUGCAGCGGCACCACAUGGUGACAGUUGUUAAAGCAUUUAUGCGCUUGAAGAGGAGCCUGCGGCGGAUAGCUAGUUGGUAAGGUAAUGGCUUACCAAGGCUACGAUCUGUAACCGGCCUGAGAGGGCGGACGGUCACACUGACACUGAAUAACGGGUCAGACUCCUACGGGAGGCAGCAGGUCGGGAAUUUUGGGCAAUGGGCGAAAGCCUGACCCAGCAACGCCGCGUGAAGGAU